CCUACGGGUGGCAGCAGUGAGGAAUAUUGGUCAAUGGCCGGAAGCCUGAACCAGCCAAGUCGCGUGAGGGACGACUGCCCUAUGGGUUGUAAACCUCUUUUAUAAGGGAAGAAUAAAUGCUACGUGUAGCCUGCUGCCUGUACCUUAUGAAUAAGCAUCGGCUAACUCCGUGCCAGCAGCCGCGGUAAUACGGAGGAUGCGAGCGUUAUCCGGAUUUAUUGGGUUUAAAGGGUGCGUAGGCGGUUUUUUAAGUUAGUGGUUAAACGUCGGGGCUUCACCUUGAUUUGCCAUUAAUACUGUAAGACUCGAGUUCAGACGAGGUAGGCGGAAUAAGUUAAGUAGCGGUGAAAUGCUUAGAUAUAACUUAGAACUCCGAUAGCGAAGGCAGCUUACCAGACUGCGACUGACGCUGAAGCACGAGAGCGUGGGUAGCGAACAGGAUUAGAUACCCGAGUAGUC
rnacentral:rRNA from 1 species